GACGGAGGAUGCAAGUGUUAUCCGGAAUCACUGGGCGUAAAGCGUCUGUAGGUGGUCAAAUAAGUCAACUGUUAAAUCUUGAGGCUCAACCUCAAAAUCGCAGUCGAAACUAUUCGACUAGAGUAUAGUAGGGGUAAAGGGAAUUUCCAGUGGAGCGGUGAAAUGCGUAGAGAUUGGAAAGAACACCAACGGCGAAAGCACUCUGCUGGGCCGACACUGACACUGAGAGACGAAAACUAGGGGAGCGAAUGGG
rnacentral:rRNA from 1 species